AGAAGUGUGCCCGAGACAGGGGUUAUUUUGAUGAAAUAAACACAGAGUAACACAACUCUCACUUCCA
rnacentral:tRNA from 1 species